rnacentral:rRNA from 1 species
AUGGAACCGUUCCUCCAGUAUGCUAUAUCAUGUAAAGUUCAGGUUCUUGGGGUCUCUUUUCCCUUGUGGGCAAACAACAUGGCUAGCUCUCAUCUCCUCGCAAUUGAAGAGGUUAUAUUAGAGCUCGAAAACAUGGCAUUUGUUGGGAGCUCUCUGGAUUUUUCAACUUGUCAGGUUAUUUUCAGGAGAGAUCUGAAACGGUGCCCUAUGUUUAGCAAGCUAAAAACACUCUGCCUUGAUCAGUGGUGCGUGUCUGGUGACUUUAUUGGACUGGUUUACUUUCUCCGGCACUCACCAGCUCUUGAGACGCUUAGAAUAAGAGUAGAUGUUGACUAUCUAAUUAAGGAGGUAUGGAGGAAUGGGCUAGUUGGCUGUAAGCUGUUCCUAUUUUGUAUGCUUGACGCCCGGAUGGAGCCGAUGAUGGAUCAACUGGGAGUGAAGCGGACACCAUUUUGUACGAGUAAAUCCUUGAAUUCCUCCCUAUAUUUGUUGGUCCAGGAGGGGGUUAAUUAG